rnacentral:lncRNA from 10 species
CCUGAUUGUUGUGAUUUAUUCAUUAAUUGCAACAAAACACUGACAGUGUGUCUUGAGAGAUCUACAGGUUGUCUUCACUGCAUGGUCCUAAUUCCUAAAAAUAGCCACCAUGCUGUGAAGAAGCAGAAGCAGCCACAUGGAGAGACCCACAUUAAGGACAACCAAGACAUCCUCCCCACAGAUGGAUUUGCACUCAAAACUUCAGUCCUCUUACUAAGGCCAUUUGGGACCUUCCAGGCAUCUAUGUAUCCCAGCUAACACCAAAUGAAGGAGGAAAGCCACCCAAGCUUCCCACAGAAUCGUGAAAUUCCAUGAAUUAUUCUUGCUUUAAAUAGAUAAGCUGGCAGGGGGCAUUGUUAUAUAGUUGAUAACUGAACCAGAAAUUUGCAUUUGGGUGUAGUAUGCUGCUGCAACGAAAAUUAAAACAAACAGACAACCAAACAGCAAAAGACAUUGAGUUUGGAUCUGAGAGACCUGAAUGGCAGAGAGAAGGCUGGAAAGGGAAUGCGGGAGUAUGUAUUGGAGGCUUGAUAAAAUAUAAAUAAUGUUAUUUACUACCAUGAAAAAAAAAAGAUUGAAAAAGUUCCAAAUGGACCUUGGAUCUAAAUGUGUUUCCAGGCAGAAAGUUGCCAUUUGGCUUAUGUUCACUGUCUGUAAUUAAACACGUGUAAAGAAGAAUGACCUAAAAAAGGAACUGUUUGGUUUUCAGGUGAAUCUUCUGGAAAUUUCUCCAACAUGACUUGUAUGGUUGAAAAAUAAAACUGUUUCUUGUUACCAGGCUUUUUAUCUGGCCGCCUUAAGGAAGAAAUGAAAUCUAGGGUGCUGCCAGUUAAAAAAAUGCUUAGGAUCAAGAUGAAGUCAAGUGUGUGGCUAUUUGACUCUUUAUAACAAAUUCUGAAAUAUUAAUGGCCAUACCUCCUAGAACCUGUGUGCUAAAGUUCAUAAGGAUACACUUCAUUGAGUCAUUCAGAGAGACAAUAAACCUCUAUAAAUUGUAAUAACUUUAAUCCACAGCUACUAACUCUCAGGCAAAUGUAGAGAAAGACCUGCCUCACAGUAUAAUAUAGAGGUUCUAGGGUGCAGCAUUAUGGACAUUUCUAAAGCAAUAAUAGUAUGGCCAUUUAAAGAUUCAAAAAUUCAUAUUUAGAACUCAGAAGGGGUCUUUAAAAUCAGCCAGUGAGGAAGUACAUGCAGCCACAUGAAGGGAUUUACCUAAAGAAACCCUGAGGAAACUGUCCCUCAGUCAGAACUGAGUUCCUGAUGGGCAGCCUGUGCCACACUGUCAGGCAUGCCAGCCAUAAUGCCAGCCUACCCACCAGCAAGCAAAACAGAAGAAUAUCAGAUCAAACCAAAGAAUCAUAAAAAAUAGUUAGCAAUCAGAAUUUCCUUAGUAGGUGGAUGGAUAAAUAAACUUUGGUAUAUCCAGACAAUGAAAUACUAUUCAGUGCUAAAAAGAAAUGAGUUAUAAAGUUUGAGAAGACAUAGAGGUAGCUGAGGUGCAAUAUUACUAAGUGAAAGAAACCAGUCUGAAAAGCCCACAUGCUGUAUGAUUCCAACUACUGAAUAUGCUGUUCUGAAAAAGGUGAAACUACCGAGAGAGUAAGAAGGUCUGUGGUUCCCAGAGGUUAAGAGGGAGGGAGGGAUGAACGGGCAGAGCACAGAGGAUUUUUAGGGCAGUGCAGUUACUCUGCAUGAUACCACAAUGGUGGAUACAUGCUAUUAUAGAAUUGUCCAAACUCAUAGUAUGUGCAACACCAAGAGUGAACCUUAAGGUGAACUAUUGACUUUGGGAAAUAAUGAUGUGUUCAUCAUUGUAUCAACUGUACCACUCUGGUGGGGGAUGCUGAUAAUGGGGGAGGCUGUACAUGGGUGGUUGCAGAAGGUAUAUGGGAACUCUGUACUUUCUGCUCAGUUGUGCUAUAAGCAUAAAUUGCUCCAAAAGUAAAGUAUUUCAAUACAUAUUUAUUUUGAACUUCAAUAUUUGGACUGUUUUUUUCUCCAAGUAAUAGAUAAUUGAAAUAAGGACCAAAGUAAUUUGCAUAAAAAUACAAUAAAAUUUUAGGUAUUUAAUUUAUACUUAAAUUAUUACCCAUCAAAUAUGCUGCAUCUCCUCCUGUUCAUAGGGCUCAUCACUAUUUUUGAUAAUGUUGACUACAAAAAUCAGUAAAUUAAUAUGGGUGUGUUUGUGUGUGUGCACGUGUGUGUUCACUCCUUGCUGAUUUAUAGCCCCCAUUAGAAGAUGUAACAUGCUCAUAUCAACCCAUCCAUAUGUGAGUGUGGCAGAUUAUUAGAAUAAAUGAUACGUGACUGUCUGGGGAUAAUUUUCCUCUCCUGAUCUCUUUUAUGCUAUUCCUAACUACAGUAUCUGUUCUAGGAAAAAAAAUGAUGAUUUUCAGUCACUUCUUCGCAAUCACAGCUCUCUUAAUGGACUUUAGAUGAUGUCUCCUCUUUUAUACUUGUAUGCUAUGAAAGUGAUACACAAUAGCACUUUGAUGUAUUUAAACUUUAUAAGGGAUAUUAUAUUAAAUUCUGUAUGAUUGCAUUUUGUUCAAUACUAUAUUUGUGAGAUUCAUACACAUUCAAAGCAAUUAAAAUGAACAAAAUAGAGCUAUCUGCAUUUGUGUAUGAGUUUUUAUCCAUUAUUAUUUAUUCAUUGUUCAUCUGAAAAAAUGAAAACUGUUUCCAAAUGGUUCUAUAAUAAGCAAUACUGUGAGGAUUAUUACUGUUCUUCCUCCUGUUGCUCAUAUGGGAAAUUUUUCUAGUGCCUCUACCAGAACUGGAAUUGCAAGAUUCGAUUUAUGUAUAUCUUCAAUUAAUUUAUAGUGUCAAAUUUUCUCCAAAAUAAAUUUAUCAUUUAUACCCCC